UACGAAGGUGGCAAGCGUUACUCGGAAUUACUAGGCGUAAAGGGCAGGUAGGCGGUUUGAUAAGUCUGUUGUGAAAGCUCCCGGCUUAACUGGGAGAGGUCAACAGAUACUGUCAAACUUGAGUAUGGGAGAGGGUACUGGAAUUCCUGGUGUAGCGGUGAAAUGCGCAGAGAUCAGGAGGAACACCGAUGGCGAAAGCAGGUACCUGGACCAUUACUGACGCUCAGCUGCGAAAGCUAGGGGAGCAAACAGG
rnacentral:rRNA from 1 species